rnacentral:misc_RNA from 1 species
GAUGAAGAACGUAGCGAAAUGCGAUACUUGGUGUGAAUUGCAGAAUCCCGUGAACCAUUGAGUCUUUGAACGCAAGUUGCGCCCGAAGCCAUUAGGCCGAGGGCACGCCUGCCUGGGCGUCACACGUCGUUGCCCCCCCAUCUACUCCUUCGGGAUUGCGGGGGGCGGAUGAUGGCCUCCCGUGCGCCUCGUCGCGCGGUUGGCAUAAAUGCCAAGUCCUCGGCGACGCACGCCACGACAAUCGGUGGUUGCGAAACCUCGGUUGCCCGUCGUGUGCGGUCGUCGCGCAUCGAGGGCUCGAAAAAAUUGUCGGGCUCCGGCUCGGCUUUCAACGCGACCCCAGGUCAGGCGGGGUUACCCGCUGAAUUUAAGCAUAUCAAUAAGCGGAGGA